rnacentral:lncRNA from 1 species
UUUCAAAUGCAGAUUGACGAAGAUGAGAUUUACUGGAGACAUCGAAAGGAAGAUGGAGUUGGAAUGCUCCCGUAAUUCCACUCGCUUAAUAUCUCACUUAGCUCAAUGUUUUAGUGAGUACAUUUUUCUCUUCAAGGUUCUUUGCAUUCUUGUAAGUUUCAUCUUUUUUUCAAACCUAGAAUCACUUACAAACCUCUCAACCAC